GACGAACGCUGGCGGCGUGCCUAAUACAUGCAAGUAGAACGCUGAAGAGAGGAGCUUACUCUUCUUGGAUGAGUUGCGAACGGGUGAGUAACGCGUAGGUAACCUGCCUUGUAGCGGGGGAUAACUAUUGGAAACGAUAGCUAAUACCGCAUAACAAUGGAUGACACAUGUCAUUUAUUUGAAAGGGGCAAUUGCUCCACUACAAGAUGGACCUGCGUUGUAUUAGCUAGUAGGUGAGGUAAUGGCUCACCUAGGCGACGAUACAUAGCCGACCUGAGAGGGUGAUCGGCCACACUGGGACUGAGACACGGCCCAGACUCCUACGGGAGGCAGCAGUAGGGAAUCUUCGGCAAUGGGGGCAACCCUGACCGAGCAACGCCGCGUGAGUGAAGAAGGUUUUCGGAUGGUAAAGCUCUGUUGUAAGUCAAGAACGGGUGUGAGAGUGGAAAGUUCACACUGUGACGGUAGCUUACCAGAAAGGGACGGCUAACUACGUG
rnacentral:rRNA from 1 species